UGGGGAAUUUUGCGCAAUGGGGGAAACCCUGACGCAGCAACGCCGCGUGGACGAUGAAGCCCUUUGGGGUGUAAAGUCCUUUCGGCAGGGACGAAUCCUAGCAAUAGGUUGACGGUACCUGUAAAAGAAGCCCCGGCCAACUUCGUGCCAGCAGCCGCGGUAAUACGAGGGGGGCAAGCGUUGUUCGGAAUCAUUGGGCGUAAAGGGCGCGUAGGCGGUGCGGUAAGUCUGGUGUGAAAUCCCCGAGCUUAACUCGGGACCCGCGCUAGAAACUGCCGUGCUCGAGUGUGGGAGAGGAGAGUGGAAUUCCUGGUGUAGCGGUGAAAUGCGUAGAUAUCAGGAGGAACACCCGUGGCGAAGGCGGCUCUCUGGACCACUACUGACGCUGAGGCGCGAAAGCCGGGGGAGCAAACAGGAUUAGAUACCCCCGUAGUCC
rnacentral:rRNA from 1 species